rnacentral:rRNA from 1 species
UGAAUACGAGACGCUACGGCGUCGAAGCAGUCGAUGUCAUACUUCCAAGAGAAGCUCGCAAUGUCAUAAACAAAGAAUGCCUGUACCAUAACCGACACAGGUGGGUAGGUAGAGUAUACUAAGGGGCGCGAGAUAACUCUCUCUAAGGAACUCGGCAAAAUGACUCCGUAACUUCGGGAGAAGGAGUGCCUUAUUUAUAAGGUUGCAAUAACAAGAUCCAAGCAACUGUUUAUCAAAAACACAGGUCUCCGCUAAGUCGUAAGACGAUGUAUGGGGGCUGACGCCUGCCCAGUGCCAGAAGGUUAAAGAAGUUGGCUAGCAUUCGCGAAGCUGAUAACUGAAGCCCUGGUGAACGGCGGCCGUAACUAUAACGGUCCUAAGGUAGCGAAAUUCCUUGUCGGGUAAGUUCCGACCCGCACGAAAGGCGUAAUGAUUUGGAUACUGUCUCGGAGAGGGACUCGGUGAAAUAGACUUGUCUGUGAAGAUGCGGACUACCUGCACCUGGACAGAAAGACCCUAUGAAGCUUUACUGUAACUUGACAUUGAAAUUGGACUUUAUUUGCGCAGUAUAGGUGGGAGGCGUUGAGCAGAUUCUUGCGGGAAUUUGGGAGCCAUCAGUGAGAUACCACUCUUGUAAUGUUAGAUUUCUAACUUCGUAUCCUGAUCGGGUCAAAGGACAGUGUCAGGCGGGCAGUUUGACUGGGGCGGUCGCCUCCCAAACGGUAACGGAGGCGUACAAAGGUUUCCUCUGAACGGGUAGAAAUCGUAUCUAGAGUGUAAAGGCAUAAGGAAGCUUGACUGUGAGACCUACAAGUCGAGCAGGGACGAAAGUCGGUCUUAGUGAUCUGACGGUGCUGAGUGGAAAGGCCGUCACUCAACGGAUAAAAGUUACUCUAGGAUAACAGGCUGAUCUCCCCCAAGAGCUCACAUCGACGGGGAGGUUUGGCACCUCGAUGUCGGCUCAUCGCAUCCUGGGGCGGUAGUACGUCCCAAGGGUUGGGCUGUUCGCCCAUGAAAGCGGUACGCGAGCUGGGUUCAGAACGUCGUGAGACAGUUCGGUCCAUAUCCGGUGUAGGCGUUAGAAUAUUGAGAGGAGCCUUCUUUAGUACGAGAGGACCGAGAAGGACAUACCUCUGGUGUACCAGUUAUCGUGCCAACGGUAAACGCUGGGUAGCUAUGUAUGGAGAGGAUAACCGCUGAAAGCAUCUAAGUGGGAAGCCCACCUCAAGAUAAGUAUUCUCAUAAGAAG